rnacentral:rRNA from 1 species
GAGGGCACUAGCGUAGUUCGGAAUUACUGGGCUUAAAGAGUUCGUAGGUGGUUGAAAAAGUUGGUGGUGAAAUCCCAGAGCUUAACUCUGGAACUGCCAUCUUAACUUUUCAGCUUGAGUUUGAUAGAGGAAAGCAGAAUUUCUAGUGUAGAGGUGAAAUUCGUACAUAUUAGAAAGAAUACCAAUUGCGAAGGCAGCUUUCUGGAUCAUUACUGACACUGAGGAACGAAAGCAUGGGUAGCGAAGAGGAUUAGAUACCCUCGUAGUCCAUGCCGUAAACGAUGUGUGUUAGACGUUGGAAAUUUAUUUUCAGUGUCGCAGCGAAAGCGAUAAACACACCGCCUGGGGAGUACGACCGCAAGGUUAAAACUCAAAUGAAUUGACGGGGACCCGCACAAGUAGUGGAGCAUGUGGUUUAAUUCGAAGAUACGCGCAGAACCUUACCAACACUUGACAUGUUCGUCGCGACUUUAAGAGAUUAAAGUUUUCGGUUCGGCCGGACGAAACACAGGUGCUGCAUGGCUGUCGUCAGCUCGUGUCGUGAGAUGUUGGGUUAAGUCCCGCAACGAGCGCAACCCUCACUUUUAGUUGCCAUCAUUAAGUUGGGCACUCUGAAAGAACUGCCAGUGAUAAGCUGGAGGAAGGUGGGGAUGACGUCAAGUCCUCAUGGCCCUUACGUGUUGGGCUACACACGUGCUACAAUGGUAUCUACAACAGGAAGCAAGACGGCGACGUUAAGCAAAUCCUUAAAAGAUACCUCAGUUCGGAUUGCACUCUGCAACUCGAGUGCAUGAAGCUGGAAUUACUAGUAAUCGUGGAUCAGCGUGCCACGGUGAAUGCGUUCCCGGGUCUU